rnacentral:lncRNA from 1 species
AGAGGCCCCGGUAUACGUGGGGUAGGGGUGGUGUUGGGGAAGCGGACGCGCGCAUCGAGGAGCACGCGGGGUGGGGGCCGCGCUCAAAUCAGCGCUGCAAUGACGGGGCUGCCACUGCGCCUGUGCCUGGUGGGCCGUGGACCGUGGUCCCGUUCGUCGGUGUGUGGCUGGACCCGGUGCACGGCGGUGGCGUCGCAGGUAAGGACGACGGGCCUCCUGUAUCCGUACGGCCUCCGUCCCGUUCCGGUGCAGUUGCAGCGGAAGGCGACCGGCCGCCGACGUGCUUGUCAGUCUCGGGGUCGAUCCGUGCCAGAGAUUCUGACGCGGGCGGCUCGAAUCUGCUAAUGAAAUAGUUUAUGGGCCGGGGUACGAGGAGGCACAUUUGUCGACACGAUGGAUAUAUGGCUGGCUUGCUAAUUAGACGACAAGGGAAAAACCGAUAUCCAACUUGAGUUUGUAUUCCAGGGUGUGGUUUAGGACUAAAGCUGGACCCGUCAAUGUCCUUUCUCCGAUGAUGAUUGGUCGACUUACCUGCCGCGGACAAGCAAAUGACACGCAGGACGGCAAGUGUCAGCCAGCCAGGUCACGGUUCGUGCUGAAAUUUGGCACCGAUUGAAAUAAAAGGAACCAAGGUUGUGGGGAUGUCACGAGCCACUUUAGCCCCCAUAUUACUUAUCUCUACUACUAUGAAGAAGGUAAGGGUAGGCUGCUAUUCUGUUCUGCCCUCCCCUGUCCGUUAUUAUCGCAGCAAAAAAAAUGCUGCCAGGCUCAGGAAUCGAACCCUGUUCUGCCCCUCCCUCGUUCUGCCCUCCCCCGUCCGUUAUUAUCGCAACAAAAAAAAUUGCUGCCAGGCUCAGGAAUCGAACCAUGGAUGCACUAGCCAACUCGACUCAUGUUAGUUUAUAUUUAGCCUCAACUACGAUAUCUAAGUGAUGAGAUAAUUCAUGCUUAGUUUUUCAUUUGGUGACCCUGGUAUGUAUAAUUUUUUAUCCACUCUGGUAUUUUUAACAACAACUUACACACUUGCAGGUGAUAGACUAUUGCAUAAAUUUAAUAAAAUCUAACAAAUUACGCAUCAGGGGGCAUAGUUCACAUAGAAAAUUGAACAUUAUAAAAAAUAGUUCACAUGACAAACUUGUGCGGCAGGAAAAAACGUGGAUUAGUUCACAUGGAAAUUUUACUCGAAAAGGUGGUUUAGUUCACAUGAAAAAAACGCAGGAGGGAAAAUGUGGAUUAAUUACAUGGUAGUUUUAUAUGUUUAGGCUCCUUCGAAAUGCAGAAAUUUUAGAAAAAAUAUCGAUUUAUGAUAAAGCCAAAAAGAUAACCCAUUGAAGCUUAAUUUUCUGCAUUUUACCAAAAAAUUGUCUGAAAUCAUCUACUUGGAGAACUGCGUCCUUUGUCAUCUAUAGUCAAUAAUGGAGGGCAUGUUUUUUCCUUGCCAUUCACAACAGUCGAGGAAAAGCUUGAGUUGUAUUGCAACAUUAGGGUCGUAGUAUAUGAUGUGAUAUCUGUCUCAUAAUUGUGAUAGGUAUUUUUAACAACUUACACACUUGCAGGUGAUAGACUAUGCAUAAAUUUAAUAAAAUCUCAUGAUCAUCUAAAGUGCCAAUCUGGAGGUCGUGUCCACAUAGAAAAUGCUUUUCAGUUCAACUUUCUAAAGCGAGACAGUGAUGUUGAAACUAAAACAGACGAGCUAUAUCCAAUUAAAGACAUGUCAUAAAUAUGUAGUGCUGAAUGAAGGGUUUUACUUUACCUAGACCAUGACAUGGUAAAUAUGAGUUUGAAAUUUACACGGUUAUUGUUUGCAUGUAUUUUAUUUUUUAUGCAAUAUUUAUAAUUGUUUUGUAGGUGUAUCCAAUUAAAGAC